GUCUCUCCUUUUCUUUUUCUGCUACGCAUCAGCCUAGGUUCUCAGCGGUUUCCUCAUAUUCUUGGAACAUGAGGACGUGAGAUUCCAAUGGGGAAGAAGACUUGUCGCCAUGGCAAUGGUGUUCAUUUGUAGAGUAGAUUGAUUGUUUAUUGGUUGUGCAUCUGAUUUUACCUUCUGUUUUUUUAGAUGUAUUCAGGGGUAGAUUGAUUGUUUAUUGGUUGUGCAUCUGAUUUAACCCUCUGUUUUUUUCAAAUGUAUUCAGGGGCUACAAGAACAGUUCUGUAGAAUACUUGGCCCAAAUCUGACUGUUCGAGCAGGAAAUGCACAUCCUGGAUGUGACAUAAUUAACAUCUGAUGGAUAUCCUCAAAUCUCUUGAGCUGGAGUUCAUCUAUCUCAUCUGAAAGACUUCAAGCCCAUGUACAGUCCUCUUGGUCCCUUCAGAAGUACCAUAUAAGUGCAGUGUAUGUUGUGCUGAUCAGAGUGUAUGUUGUGCGGAUCAGAGUGGGGCAGGGGCAGGGGCAUAUAGGGCAAAGAUUAGUUUUCUAUUUCGGGGCAAGCUAUCUUCGAAGAUGGCUCCAAGGUCAUCUGAGCUCUUCCAUUUGAAGCCGGUCAUCAGGGCACUGGAGAGACAGUGGCAUCAAAUAUGAGCCCAGAAGAACCAUCAACCUCGAGUACCAAGUCCUUUGCCGUGUAAUAGUGGUUAUUACAUAUCAGUCUUAUAUAUCUGUUUUCCUUAAUUUUCUUUGAAUGACAUAUACUGGAUGGAGUAUAUUUGGAGUCCAAACAAACAUUGAGUAGUUGCCGUUGCAACUGCAACUGUUAUAUUCUAUGUGGGUUGGAUGGUUGUCUCUGUAUGACAGAUGCUUCCUUGCAUGAAGAUUCUCGAUUGUUUAUUUCUGGUGCACGUCAUCUGUCUCGAUCUGAUGGUAGCUAUCUUCCUUUGAUCUGCUUGUGUACAUGCUAUUACAUGCGUUUGACUCACCUAUUUUGUAUUGAGCAGAUGUGACAUGCUCAAUUAGUGGUACAUACUGUGUACUGAUGCUUGCAAUGGUUUUUUUAAUGAUGUGUAGUGAUUUUUGUUACUUUAAUUUUUUGUGGUUUGUAAGCCUCCUGAUUCUAUCAUUAUAAUAACCUCAUAUCAAUACUGUCGGUGUUAGUUUCCUCGCUGAUAAUGUGGUACCUAUUCAGUCAGAAUUUUCCUGGAAGAGUAAAACAGGACGACUACAAUUUUAGUGUCCGGCAUGUGUUUUGUAUUGUUUACCAGAGCCUAUGUAAGUUUACUCAAAUUAGAAUUAUGCCUUUUAAAUUAUGUGACACAUCUUCCUCUACACUAAGAUAAUUCAUGUAUUAUAAGCAAAAUAAUGCAAAAUCUGAUUUUACUGGAAUCCUUUCUCUGGUUUCAUGACUUCAUGGCUUUCGAAACAUGUGGCCCAACACCAAGAAUCAUUCCUCUUAAUGUUUAAUUUUGUGAAAUGUUAGAUGCAGUAGUUUUACUGAUAAUGGAAGGGUCUGAGUACUUCCAUUGGCAAAAAAUGUGAAGUGAAUCUCAAGAUAGCUUUGCUCUUUGUAUCAUUGUCAAUUUCUUUAUUUCCUUUGGAAAUGACAAAAUGGGGUUUGUUUUUGCAGCUUGUAGAAAUUCUUAGUAAGGGAAGAUUGGUUAAUAAAUGAAUUUGUCAGUCCAUAUUUGAACGGCGCUUGAUUGUUUCUGCCAAUUUUUUUACUGGAAUUGAUUGGUGUAUACCAAGGUCUUCUGCUGAUACCUUCAUGGUAUGUUCUGCAGGUUUGCUAAGUUAUGGAAAGUUAUUUUUUAUCUAUUGAAUUUAGAUCCGUGAGACUUUUGUUGAAGCUGAUAAGGUUAUAAUUAAAGUUUCCGACUAAUGGAUCAUCAUUUGUAAUUCCUUUUUAGAAUGUGUUUACUAUCAAGUGGUAUCAUGUAAAUGUAAUCAGAACAAAAAGGACUAGCUUCUUUGCGGGAGCAUGUUUCAAUUCUUCGCUUAACAUUUUCACUGAAACCUUGGUUUGAUAAGAAAAUCUUGCUAUUUAUGGUUUUGGUAGUUAAGUUGAAGUUCAAUAAAGAAUAUGACCUGAGUUGGACAGAAAGUAUUGAGCAGGUACGUAAUCAUCCUGAUAGAAAUAAUAAACUCACCUCUACUUCAGUUGUUACUUCCAUCCUUCCUGUUUACUGCAUACUCUGUCUUUAUAAGCAACUCAAGCCCACUUUUUUCUUACGGUGUUUUAUGGUGUUGUGGAGUAGUGUUUCAUAAAAUAUUUAUAAGCAACUCAAGCCCACUUUUUUCUUACGGUGUUUUAUGGUGUUGUGGAGUAGUCGUCCUCAGUGCGGUGGAGCGUGGUGCCCCUGUUGUCCUGGCUUCCCUCCAUGAGCAGCCCCAAGUAUUAUUUUUUUGUUUACUUUAUUCAUCAGUUUGUUUAAAGACUUUCUACUUCUGCAACCUGGCCAUAACAAAUUAUGUAGUGGCCACCAUAGUACUAAUUGAGCAACUGAUUCUUGCAGCAGAUGCUAUCAAUAUUUAUGUUGAUGCCAGAUUCAGUAAAAUGCCUAGCUCAUGGAGCUAUCAUCUGAGGACACGGGUAGCACACGGUUUCAGAUUCUCUAUUGUUUCUAUAUAGUCCAUAACGUCUACUGAGGUUCGUCUCCAAGCAUUCGAUUUUUCUUUACCCUAUCUCUUUGAUUGGCGGAGAAACAUUCGUGGAUAUGUUGCUUACCUAUAUGUGUGCAUCAUGUGAAAGAAAAAGCUAGACAUCAGCCAACCUCAGUGAAUGCACUUUGUUCGACAUAAAACAUGAGCAUAAAAGAGAGACAUGGUUGAGCUCACCAUGCUCUCUAGACGGAAUCAUCACAAAAGGUCGCAGAAGCUGCUAGGACAUUUGGGUUGGACUUUCAAAAGAAAACUCUCAAAGAUCGUGGUUUGGAACAACUUCCAUCUCAAAGCUAAGGCGCGCACACAAUGCACUCAGCUACAUUGAUUAAGAGACUGGAUGAUCUAGCAUGUCGAUAUUAUGUGAUUCCAGACUCCAAGAGUCGUUUGGCUGCGAGAGUGUUCCGACUUGAGAUCAACACUUCAUCUAAAGGACAUAGCAUAUCUUCAUUCACUGAUUUUGGAUUACAGUGCUGCCACAUAGGCCUAACUUCACACAUUAUGGUGUUCUUGCCAAAAUGGCGAGGGUAGCAUGUGUAGCUCUCUUCCCGGUAUUCUAGAUUAUGGACUGUGUGGAACAAGGUCAUAUUAUUUGUGGUAGCCAUUGGAAAUUCAUAACUACAAAGCUUCAGCUACGUAUUCCGAACAAGGUGAUAUUGAAGCUUGGACAUACCAGAGAUCAACCCGUCGAGAAGCAUGUAUAUACCAGGAAACCAAAGAAUCAGCCUAGAAGUAUGCAUUUUGUCCAGAACAAGCAGUGCACCUGCAAUAGAAAAUAAUAGCCACUUAUCUACCACUGCCACAAGUAUCUAUGUGAGCUCCAAGGAAAAACACUCAGUUACUAUGGAUCACUGCUGGAGUACUGUAAUAUCGACAAUCGCUCUGUAAUUCUAAGGUCCUUUCUUGGUUUGCUAUCAUGGCUACUAUACAGGGAUAAUAGUGUUUUCAUAUACUGUUGAGUUUAAUGCUACACUAUGUGCUUUGUAUCGAAACAUGAAUAUAUAGAUCUAGCCUGACUUGCUCAUUCUUAUAA